GACGCAGCUACCGUCAGGUAAUGCCAUUCCAGGUGCAUAUCCAGCAGCUCCGAAUGCUGCUUGGACGAAGAUGACUUGCACUCAAUAUGGCCAUGGAUGCAUGCCGCUGCAGUCUUGCCCUUUGAAGUUGAGGCUGACACUCACGGGAUGCGGUGCAGGUUCUGUCUGCUGCAACAUCCUAAAAACCAAAAGCUGCUCCCAGGUUGGCGGUCAAUGUCUCAAACGUUGCCGAGGAUAUGGAGUUCGGAACCACUACGCCAAAUGCGACA
rnacentral:lncRNA from 1 species